AUGAAGAACAAAAUCAACACGCAGGAAGACUACAAACUGUGGGGGACCAGCGAGCUGCCAGAACACCUCAUCGAAACCACCAUUGCCGCUUCCAUCUCCACUGCACACAAACCAAAACCUUCUCUCUCACAAGCCCACAGUCGCCUGAGGAAGGCGAUGGCGGAGGAACCGUCCGCCAAGCGUCACCAUGGUGACACUUCGAACAAGAGCAGCAACCUCGUCGACGUUCACGUCCCCGACGAGAAGCAUGAGUACACAAGAACGCUCAAAGGGGUUGAGCUCCACGACAAGGAGACGCUGGAGAUCGUCUGCACCAGCGAACCAGACAAGGCCGACUAG
rnacentral:rRNA from 1 species